rnacentral:rRNA from 1 species
CCUACGGGAGGCAGCAGUGGGGGAUAUUGCACAAUGGGGGAAACCCUGAUGCAGCGACGCCGCGUGGGUGAAGAAGCGCCUCGGCGCGUAAAGCCCUGUCAGCAGGGAAGAAAAUGACGGUACCUGAAGAAGAAGCCACGGCUAACUACGUUCCAGCAGCCGCGGUAAUACGUAGGGGGCAAGCGUUAUCCGGAUUUACUGGGUGUAAAGGGGGCGCAGUCGGCGAUGCAAGCCAGGAGUGAAAGCCCGGGGCCCAACCCCGGGACUGCUCUUGGAACUGCGUGGCUAGAGUGCAGGAGGGGCAGGCGGAAUUCCUGGUGUAGCGGUGAAAUGCGUAGAUAUCAGGAGGAACACCGGUGGCGAAGGCGGCCUGCUGGACUGCAACUGACGUUGAGGCCCGAAAGCGUGGGGAGCAAACAGGAUUAGAUACCCCAGUAGUC